rnacentral:tRNA from 1 species
GCCUGCUUAGCUCAGUUGGUUAGAGCGUCCGUCUCAUACGCGGAUUGUCACUGGUUCAAAUCUAGUAGCAGGCAAAUCAA